CUGUGACACCCAUUGUACACUGUGAGCAGGUAUACAGGCCCACAGAGCCUGUAGAUAAUUAUCUGUGACACCCACGGUGCACUGUGAGCAGGUAUACAGGCCCACAGAGCACGCAGAUCAUUAUCUGUGACACCCAUGGUGCACUGUGAGCAGGUAUACAGGCCCACAGAGCAUGCAGAUAAUUAUCUGUGACACCCAUUGUACAUUGUGAGCAGGUAUACAGGCCCACAGAGCAUGCAGAUAAUUAUCUGUGACACCCAUUGUACAUUGUGAGCAGGUAUACAGGCCCACAGAGCAUGCAGAUAAUUAUCUGUGACACCCAUUGUACAUUGUGAGCAGGUAUACAGGCCCACAGAGCAUGCAGAUAAUUAUCUGUGACACCCACGGUGCACUGUGAGCAGGUAUACAGGCCCACAGAGCACGCAGAUCAUUAUCUGUGACACCCAUGGUGCACUGUGAGCAGGUAUACAGGCCCACAGAGCAUGCAGAUAAUUAUCUGUGACACCCAUUGUACAUUGUGAGCAGGUAUACAGGCCCACAGAGCAUGCAGAUAAUUAUCUGUGACACCCACGGUGCACUGUGAGCAGGUAUACAGGCCCACAGAGCAUGCAGAUCAUUAUCUGUGACACCCAUGGUGCACUGUGAGCAGGUAUACAGGCCCACAGAGCAUGCAGAUAAUUAUCUGUGACAUCCAUUGUACACUGUGAGCAGGUAUCAGAACUGACUACUUUUUAUAUUGAGUCAAAUG